UACAGAGGUCUCAAGCGUUGUUCGGAUUCAUUGGGCGUAAAGGGCGCGUAGGCGGCGGGGUAAGUCUGGUGUGAAAUCUCGGAGCUCAACUCCGAAAUUGCACUGGAUACUGCUCUGCUUGAGGGUUGGAGAGGAGAUCGGAAUUCACGGUGUAGCAGUGAAAUGCGUAGAUAUCGUGAGGAAUACCAGAGGCGAAGGCGGCUACCUGGACAAUUGCUGACGCUCAGGCACGAAAGCGUGGGGAGCAAAAGGG
rnacentral:rRNA from 1 species